GAUGAAGAACGCAGCGAAAUGCGAUAAGUAAUGUGAAUUGCAGAAUUCAGUGAAUCAUCGAAUCUUUGAACGCACAUUGCGCCCGCCAGUAUUCUGGCGGGCAUGCCUGUUCGAGCGUCAUUUCAACCAUCAAGCCCUGCUUGCGUUGGGGUCCUGCGGCUGCCCGCAGGCCCUGAAAACCAGUGGCGGGCUCGCUAGUCACACCGAGCGCAGUAAUACAUCUCGCUUUGGGCGUGNGGCGGGUUCUUGCCGUUAAACACCCCCUUUUUACCAAGGUUGACCUCGGAUCAGGUAGGAAUACCCGCUGAACUUAAGCAUAUCAAUAAGCGGAGGA
rnacentral:misc_RNA from 1 species